UAUGUAGGGUGCAAGCGUUGUCCGGAAUUAUUGGGCGUAAAGAGCUCGUAGGCGGUCUGUCGCGUCGGCUGUGAAAACCCGAGGCUCAACCUCGGGCCUGCAGUCGAUACGGGCAAACUAGAGUACUGCAGGGGAGACUGGAAUUCCUGGUGUAGCGGUGAAAUGCGCAGAUAUCAGGAGGAACACCGGUGGCGAAGGCGGGUCUCUGGGCAUUACCUGACGCUGAGGAGCGAAAGUGUGGGGAGCGAACAGG
rnacentral:rRNA from 1 species